rnacentral:tRNA from 1 species
AGAGAUUUUGCACAUUAAGGGUGCUAGAGCGUCCCGAUUUCACAUCGGGAAGGUCAUCGGUUCGACUCCGAUAUUCUCCA